ACCCUGCAUGAGGAGUUGUUGU
rnacentral:miRNA from 1 species